GGGGGCGUAGCUCAGUUGGUUAGAGUGCCGGCCUGUCACGCCGGAGGUCGCGGGUUCGAGCCCCGUCGCUCCCG
rnacentral:tRNA from 1 species